CCGCCGCCGCCGCCACCGCAGCUUCCUCGGCUGCCGGAGCGCGCGCCCGAGGGGGAGCCGCAGCGCUGCCGGGGGCGGGGCUCGGCGGCACGAGGCGGGGCUCCGCGGCGCAGCCCCGCCCCUGCUCCCUGUCGCCUAGGCGACCGACCGCGCGCGCUCCCGGGAGACUGCGCCGUGCGGAAGCCUCCGCUCGCGGUUAGAUAAACAACCUCCUCUGCCGCCCCACACCACUCUAUCCCGCACGCCCCGUCGAACCCUGGGGCCUGCGUCCUGAGCAUGCGUAGUUCGUUUGCCUGAACCGGGAACCUGGUCUACUGGAGAAUCCCACGCUCGGCAUUUGGGGGAGACGAGAUGUUAGCGGGGCAGAGCAAUCUGCAGGCUUUAACGUGAGGCGGAGAGUGAAAAGAAGAAACGGACAAGGCCCAAAAGGAGGUCUUGGUGAGGGAUUUUGCUUGACACCACCCAGUCUCUCAGUACUCCUGAGAGCUUUGGUUUUUAUCUUGCAUCAACGUAACGAGAAGCCUUUUUGAGGGGACGAACAUAAACACAACGAAGCGAACCCUGAGGGAGGGGCUGCAGGGCCCCUUCUGCCCGCUGCCCGACGUGGCGAAGGCGAGUCCGCGGAAGCCAGGCGCACGCCCGCUGACGUCGCUGGGGGUCCCGCCCUGCUCCAGCGCCGGCCUGGUGUCGAGCUCUUCCCACGCCCUCUCGGCUACGGGCGCCUGGAAAACCGGGAGAACGGAGCUCCCACCCGCAACAGAAGGCCCAGGGACACCUCAUAGCAACAGCUAGCGGGGGCACCUAGUAGGAAGCUGGGAUUCAGUCCAACCAACCAGUUCACGUUUCUGUACCCCCAUGGUAUCGUUCUCGGCCAAUAGAGAGCCACUUCAUGCCACAUGACACCCACCCGUCAGCCAAUGGGGAAAACUCUGGUCGCGGGAUCAACCAACGCACCUCCCUUUGCCCGGCCAGGCAGGGCGUUUGCCCCUGCGCACUCUCUGCCAACCAAUCGUAGGUCCCCAGAAGUUGAGAAGCUCUGGAUUGCAGUGCAUCUGAUAGAAGUUGUCACACAAAAAAUAGAUUACGCUUGACAGUGGUUUGGGGCGCACUGGGGAAGACGGAACAGUCCUAGUGGAAGACCCAUCCAGUCGUCCUUCUCAGCAGCCAGCUGGUUAUUUUGUCAAGGAAAGUGAUCCAUCCUACUUUUUCAGGGUCAUCUCCUCAAAACCCAGCUUCUCACUCUCACAGAACAGUACAUCCUCUUUUAUUAUCGUCCUAGUUAAUGCUUCUCACACAGCUUCACAAUACGAGCACUUAAUGAGUGAUUAGCCACGUUGAAAUGGCUGCACUAGUUGAGAAAGAGAAAUCUUGUUUGCUUAAUCAAGGUACUACUACCUCAGUGCAAAUGGCACUGGUGGCAAAAUUGAUUCCAGUUUACAUCUGAAUGAGAGAAGCCGAGGGACACAUUUCAGGGAUAUUUUAGCCUUUUUAUUUUCCUUGGCAUGCCAGGUAGUUGAACAGAGUUAAACUAUUCCAUCAUGCAAGUUGCCUUGACUUGAUUCUGUUGGGGAUUGGUCUUUGGUAUUUAUUAGUUGUGUUUUUGUUUUUUUUUUUUUUAAUGAAGAUUUUUGGGUAUUUCCCAUGCAAACUUUCCAACGAAAAGAUGCUACAACAUAUGAAAAUUAUCUAAAAGAUAUUCAUCUGUCGACAUAAUUAGGUUAUAUGAACGAGAAUGAGCUCCAAGAAUAAAAUUGAGUAUGUCAGUUCUGCACUAUAUGCUGACAAAAUGAAAGAAGCUAAAAUGGGUAGUUUAUGGCAUUCUAAGGUUAUGAUUAUGGUGCUCAAAAGAAAGCAACCCAAGUAAAAUUAUUGAGAAAGGAGACCAAUCAAUAGCAUAUGUUGCUGAGGUUUUUAUACUGAAAAAGCAAAGCUCCAGGGGCUCAAUGCUGUCUGUAUUAGGGCUGUAGAUCGUCUGAAGCCUGGGGUUUUUCUAACUGGAUCUGUGACUAAUGGAGUGGGGGUAGGGCUGAGGCUCAGUAAGAUGUUUAACCCUGGCUUGGGGAAUUACCUUUGCGUGGGAUUGGGCCUGUUUAUAGGACUCCUCAAACCCUGGCUCUCCAAAAGCAGAAAUAAAGACUACCAAGUCAUUCAGGUCACUAGCUACCCAUCCAGAUAUCUAUCAUCAACGUAUUUUGUGUUUUGUGUUGUUUUUUUUUUUCUGGUUUUUUGGUGUUUGUUUGUUUGUUUGUUUUUAUUCUACAGGGUUCCAGAAAGGACAGAAGUACAUUUCAUAAAUACAUAUAAUGAUAAAUUUUCUAAUUUUAAGAGUUAGGUCUUCUCAAGAAACUUGAACAUUAUCUAUCCAAAAAAAAAGUAUGUAUAGAAACAGUAUUUCACUUUGAAGUACAUGUUAAAGCUUUCCCCAUGGCGUUCACACUUUGUCUUGCUUUCUGUGUAUAUGUAUGUGUAAGGGGAGGGGUGUGCCCAAGCCCCACCCAAGUCUCACCAGUUAAGAAUCUGGGAGGACACAGGGGUGGGCUUGUGUUUAUUGAGAAUGUGUAUAUUUAAACAAAAUCUUCUAGAUGACUCGGACAUGUCCCUGUAUUUUCUGAAGAAAGAAAUCAUACUUAAAGUGAUGAUCCUGAAAAUUACUACUGAGGAUAUUGAAUAACCAGAUUACUUACCUCAAAUCCAGAACCUAGUUUAAAUUCCAUUUCUUCUUGUGUCCCUCAAACUAGAAUUAAUCUCUAUUCCUUAUUCCCCAAACACUCCACACUUUUCAUAUUUACUGCAGUUUCUCUGGUGUUAUGCUUAUUUUAUCUCCAUCUGUCAUGUGGACUCAUGGAUGUUUGGGCAGCAGGCGAGAAGAAUGGAGAAGGUACAUUUUCCCCCCAUCUUUCUAAUCCCUGUAAUGCUUUGGCUAAUCA